GACGAACCGUGCGAACGUUGUUCGGAUUCACUGGGCUUAAAGGGCGCGUAGGCGGGUCAGCAAGUCCGGGGUGAAAGCUUUCGGCUCAACCGGAAAAGGGCCUUGGAUACUGCUGGUCUGGAGGAAGGUAGGGGCGUGUGGAACUUCCGGUGUAGCGGUGAAAUGCGCAGAUAUCGGGAAGAACACCCGUGGCGAAGGCGGUUCUCUGGGACGGUACUGACGCUGAGACGCGAAAGCGUGGGGAGCGAACAGG
rnacentral:rRNA from 1 species